rnacentral:sRNA from 1 species
GUCACAGGCAAAACUGUGAUCGGGCGUAGGAACCCGCGUAGUCAUCGUCGGCGCAGAAGUUAAUUUCUUCAUUUGGCGUCGUUUUU